rnacentral:tRNA from 1 species
GGUGGCUCAGUGGCGGGAGCACUUGCCUUGCAUGCAUGAGGCCCUGGGUUCAAUUCCUCAGCACCA